UUUUCAGAGGUUACCGCCUGAUGGCGCUCGCGCUCAAUUUUACGGUUUCGAAAGAACGAGCGAGAGAGCACAUCCAUCAGCGUGCGAAAACCUUCCCGCGCAUGUGCCGCGGCCAUCCUUGCUACGCUCGCGCCACUAUCGUCAGAUGCCAUUCGAAUUUCUGAAUUCCAAACCCAUACGAUUGUUUGAUAAUGAGUGUUUUAAUGUUUUUGAAUAUUAAUCAAUAAUCCCGUAUCCGCAAACGUGAGUUUUAACAAAUAAUCUUUGUCUUUGUCAAGAAGAAGAGAUUCGUGUUCCAGAGGAUCCAAACCUUUGAGCUCGAUUGUUUCAUGUUUUUUUUCAAACUCCUUGCCUUUUUCAUCCGACACAGCAAUCAUUGGAGCUGUGGGGCAUUUCGUGAGUUGAGAUUCUGCAACAUGAUUCUCCAUCAUAUUUCUUGUCCCGUAAAUGCAAAAAAUCAACCACAUUUGAAUAAAGAAAAAUGAAGCGUUUACUCACCCAGAAUAUCGAUAAGCGAAGCUUCACUGUCGAUGCUCAUAAAAUUUUUGCGGUUGUUGCUCAAUUUCUGAAUUGUCAAUUUUACAUUCGAGCUAACAUUGAUGAAAAAUAUUUUUUGUUCCUUUCCUUCGAACGUAAUCAAAAGUCGUUCAAUUCCCUGAAGCAGAGAAACAAAUAAUUCCACAAACUAUAUAUAAUUUUUUUUCCAUUUGUUCAUCAAAUUAAUUAUACAAUUUCGUUACUUUCACUGCUGUGUAGUCGAUUCCUUGGAGUCUCUCAAAAUCCACUACAACAGGAAUUGCAAAUUCACUCGCAACUUUCGUUAUCUUCGUGCUGAGAUAAUCAAUGGCUGGAUAAAACAAUCCAAUUUCUGGUUUAACCACACAAAUGAGGACAGCUGCGAGGGACGCUUUGGGAAUAAAACCAAAGUACGGAGUUAAAAAACUCAGUGCCAAGAGCGCCAGAGUGCCUGAAAUUAAAUUGUUUUCAAAAUUAAACAUCAAUCAUAACAGCGAGGUGAUGAAAUCUCAGUCAUUUAAACAGAUUUAUAACGAAAAAGAAUACAAGAUUCACUUUCAGAGUAAAGUCCGGCAAGCGGUGUUUGAAUUCCACUCGCGCUGCUAACUGCACUGCGGGUAAAAGCACCGCAAGUGGGCAUCGAUGAUAUUAAACAUCCAGCCAAGUUGCACAAUCCCAGUGUCAACAUUUCUUGACUG